rnacentral:tRNA from 26 species
UAGCUCAGCUGGGAGAGCACCUCCCUUACAAGGAGGGGGUCGGCGGUUCGAUCCCGUC